rnacentral:rRNA from 1 species
UACGGGGGGGGUAAGCGUUGUUCGGAAUUACUGGGCGUAAAGGGCUCGUAGGCGGCCAACUAAGUCAUACGUGAAAUCCCUCAGCUUAACUGGGGAACUGCGUGUGAUACUGGAUGGCUUGGAUUUGGGAGAGGGAUGCGGAAUUCCAGGUGUAGCGGUGAAAUGCGUAGAUAUCAAGAGGAACACCUGAGGCGAAGGCGGGUUGCUAGGCUGACACUGACGCUGAUGCGCGAAAGCCAGGGGAGCAAACGGG